ACGAACGCUGGCGGCGUGCUUAACACAUGCAAGUCGAGCGGUAAGGCCCUUCGGGUACGACGAGCGGCGAACGGGUGAGUAACACGUGGGUGACCUGCCUUUAGCUCUGGGAUAAGCCUGGGAAACUGGGUCGUAAUACCGGAUAUGACCUCAUGACGCAUGUUGUGGGGUGGAAAGCCUUGUGCGGCUAGAGAUGGGCCCGCGGCCUAUCAGCUUGUUGGUGGGGUGAUGGCCUACCAAGGCGACGACGGGUAGCCGGCCUGAGAGGGCGACCGGCCACACCUGGGACUGAGACACGGCCCAGACUCCUACGGGAGGCAGCAGUGGGGAAUCUUGCGCAAUGGGC
rnacentral:rRNA from 1 species